CGGGGUGUAGCUCAGCUGGCAGUAGCAGCGGACUCUUAAUCCGAAGGUCGUGGGUUCGAUGCCCACCGCCCCGACCA
rnacentral:tRNA from 1 species